AUACAGAGGUGGCAAGCGUUGUUCGGAUUUAUUGGGCGUAAAGGGCGCGUAGGCGGAUUGUCAAGUCAGAGGUGAAAGCCCUGGGCUCAACCUGGGAACUGCCUUUGAAACUAACAGUCUAGAGUCCGAGAGAGGAUGGCGGAAUUCCCAGUGUAGAGGUGAAAUUCGUAGAUAUUGGGAAGAACACCAGUGGCGAAGGCGGCCAUCUGGCUCGGUACUGACGCUGAGGCGCGAAAGCGUGGGGAGCAAACAGGAUUAGAAACCCCAGUAGUCC
rnacentral:rRNA from 1 species